GUGAAAACUGUUAUCAAAUGAAUCGAUUACCUGCAUAUGAGAAAAAUCACCAUCUGGUUCACCCCUCCGUCAGGUUCACAUCUCCGUCAGGCUUACCCCUCCGUCUGGUUCACAUCUCCGUCAGGCUCACCCCUCCGUCUGGUUCACAUCUCCGUCAGCCUCACCCCUCUGUCAGGCUGACAUCUCCGUCAGGCUCACCCCUCCGUCAGGUUUACAUCGCCGUCAGCCUCACCCCUCUGUCAGGCUGACAUCUCUGUCAGGCUCACCCCUCCGUCAACUUCACAUCUCCGUCAGCCUCACCCCUCUGUCAGGCUGACAUCUCCGUCAGGCUCACCCCUCCGUCAGGUUCACAUCUCCGUCAGGCUCACCCCUCCAUCCUGUUCACAUCUCCGUCAGGCUCACCCCUCCGUCAGGUUCACAUCUCCGUCAGGCUCACCCCUCCGUCAGGCUCACGUCUCUGUCAGGUUCACAUCUCCAUCAGGUUUGUGUUCCAGCUGACACACAGUACGUCAUUCAAUCUCCGUUCAGGCCUAUAUAUAGAAUUAUGGCUGUAAAAACAAGGUGUUAAUUUAGAUUAAUUAAUUAUGGAGCUGAUCAUGUCAAAAAUGUAAACUCGAUUGAUCUCAUGAGUUCCAUACCAGAAAUAUCUAAUUAUUAAUAAUGCCUUGGAAAGAUAACAUCAAAUAUAACAUCACGAUUCUGUAAAUUAAUUAUGAUUUCAGCAGAAAGCUGAGGGUUAAAGAGCUCCUUCAUCAAACACCUGUCAGUCGCUUUUCUUCCAUUAGUAACCAGCUUUAAAAAAAUGUCUUACAAUUAAAAAAAGUGUGUGUGUGGGGGGGGGGUGCUUGUGUUAAGUAAUUUUGCACUGAAAUCAUUAGGUCUUAAAGGACAUUAAUUAAACACAAACGUGUAGACUUUCUAAAAAUG